CCUGCACAAGAGAAGGCUCCUGAAGGGACAAGGUCUCCUUAGAGCAGCUCCAGUGCCUGAAGGGGCUGCAGGAAACCUGGAGAGGGGCUUUGGACAAGGGCCUGUAGGGACAGGACAGGGGGAAUGGCUUUAACCUGCCAGAGGGGAGACUGAGAUGAGCUCUUAGGCAGAAGCUCUUUGCUGUGAGGGUGCUGAGGCGCUGGCACAAGGUGCCCAGAGAAGCUGUGGCUGCCCCAUCCCUGGAAGAGGCCUGUUUAGCCUGGAGAAGAGCAGUCUGGGAGGCGAUGUCAUCAAUGCAGAUCAAUAUCAUAAAAGUGGCACUAGGAGGAUGGUGCCAGGCUCUUCCCAGUGGUGCCCAGGGGCAGGCAGUACAAGGAGCAAUGGCCAUAAGCGAAAACACAACAAGUUUCGGCUCAACAUGAGGAAGAACUUCUUUACAUUCAGGGUGUCAGAGCACUGGAACAGGGGGAUUGUGGAGCCUCCCUCUCUGGAGACAUUCAAACAUGCCUGGACACGUUCCGGUGUGACCUGCUCUGGGUGGCCCUGCGUUGGCAGGGGACAGGACUGGAUCAUCUCCAGAGGUCACUUCAACCCCAGCAGCUCUGGGAACACUGGCUUGGUGCAGGCCCACGUUAACACCAACCAGCAGAUAAACGUGGGCUGCUGGGGGGGGGAAAGGGCAGAAACACAGCCAGGGUCGUGCUGGUGUUCGCAGGGAGGGGGUUCACCACCCCUGUGUGAGCCAAUGCACUGGGAUACCCCCUCCGCCGCUCCUCGCAGGGACUGUGCCGGGGAGCAGAUGAAGGAGUGGGGCUGAGACCCGCGGAGGGACAACCAGACUGUGCGGCACAGGGAAUUCCAUCAAGCUGUAAAGAUCUGAUGACACUUGGCUUCGCUCACAACAGACAUAGAAGGGGAAGGUGUUGGAACUGCAAACAUGGAAGCCUGCUAUGCUGAAUGCAGCCAAUAAAGUGAGUUUUGAUCUGCAAAACAUUUGCUGCCGUUGAGAUUUCUAUCAGCUGAUGGGGAAGAUGAGGUCUGCCUAUACCAAAAAGGGAGCGAUGAGAAGGGUGAAGCUUUGCUGACCACUGGGGACCGUGGCCAGUGCCUGGAUGCACUUCACUGGUGGGGAAAAC
rnacentral:lncRNA from 1 species